UUGAACGCUGGCGGCAGGCCUAACACAUGCAAGUCGAGCGGAUGAAGGGAGCUUGCUCCUGGAUUCAGCGGCGGACGGGUGAGUAAUGCCUAGGAAUCUGCCUGGUAGUGGGGGAUAACGUCCGGAAACGGGCGCUAAUACCGCAUACGUCCUGAGGGAGAAAGUGGGGGAUCUUCGGACCUCACGCUAUCAGAUGAGCCUAGGUCGGAUUAGCUAGUUGGUGGGGUAAAGGCCUACCAAGGCGACGAUCCGUAACUGGUCUGAGAGGAUGAUCAGUCACACUGGAACUGAGACACGGUCCAGACUCCUACGGGAGGCAGCAGUGGGGAAUAUUGGACAAAGGGCGAAAGCCUGAUCCAGCCAUGCCGCGUGUGUGAAGAAGGUCUUCGGAUUGUAAAGCACUUUAAGUUGGGAGGAAGGGCAGUAAGUUAAUACCCUGCUGUUUUGACGUUACCAACAGAAUAAGCACCGGCUAACUUCGUG
rnacentral:rRNA from 1 species